rnacentral:lncRNA from 1 species
CACUAACAGUUAUUUCCACGCAUCCGACAAACUGACGCAUGUGAAAAAUACUGAUCCUAAUUCAAGGACUGUAGAUCACUUUUUAAUCUUAAUAAAACGAGCAAUUUCAAACUGCCGUUUUCUUUCCAAAAGCUGAGAAUGAAAUUGAAAUUAUAGAUCAAGCAAACAGAGGAUACAUAUAGUAGCUGUUGCUGCCAUUGACC